AAAACAGCAAAGGUUCCUGUUUCAACAGAAUAUUCUGGCCCCCUCAGCCCCAGAGCACCAACCAGGACCCCCAACAGGACCAAGGAUCUGGGUAUACACAUCAGCAGCAUGGUGACACUAACAUCUACGAUACGAUCAAUCCCUCAGACAACAA